UACGUAGGGUGCAAGCGUUGUCCGGAAUUAUUGGGCGUAAAGAGCUCGUAGGUGGCCUGUCGCGUCGGCUGUGAAAACUCGGGGCUCAACUCCGAGCUUGCAGUCGAUACGGGCAGGCUAGAGUUCGGCAGGGGAGACUGGAAUUCCUGGUGUAGCGGUGAAAUGCGCAGAUAUCAGGAGGAACACCGAUGGCGAAGGCAGGUCUCUGGGCCACUACUGACGCUGAGAAGCGAAAGCAUGGGGAGCGAACAGG
rnacentral:rRNA from 1 species